GAGUGCAGCUACUGGUUUCGGCGCUGGGAGCGGGGUCGGUUUCCGCCGGGGGAGCCGAUGCUGCUGCUGCCCGCACCGGGUGCCCCUCGCCGUGCUGGUGCGGGUGCCGCCUGGUGUUGGACGCGAUGCCGCCGACAUUUCCCUGCUGACCCAGCGCACGGGGCCGACACCUCGCACGGGUGUCGCGGAGAGCCCCGGCCCCCCCGCCCCCUUCCAGGGCUUUUUUGAUGGCACGAGGCCUAGGAAAAUAAGUGGAAACAUUUUUCCAUUCCUGCUGGUAUUUCUUUCUUGCAGCUGCUUGGCACAGUUGGAGCUGGAGCGGGGUGUUUUCAGUGCACUAUCAGCUUCUCAAAGAGCCGUUCCCAUUUCCAUGCGGAGCUGUUCCUGUGGCCCUGUGAUAUAGAUCACGCUUUUAAAUUGUUACUGCUGGUUUUCAAAUGCCAGAGGGUCAUUAGUAACAAAACGCCUACCAUUCCCCCCAGAAACGAUCUUUGUCUGGCAAAGAGUGGAGAAUGCAAGGUGAACCGAAAUGCUACAGGGAAUGUCUGGCUGGAGGGUGCAUCCUUGGCUGGUUGGUUCUUGUUCAGGUGCUGUACUUCAUCCGGAAGAGAAAAGGAAAAAUGCGAAUGAUUCUGCUACCUGACAGGCUAUGCAAGAACUGAGAAGCUAAAUAUUCAGUGGUUUUAAUUCAGGGGAAAGGAAAGGGAUUUGGAGAGCCAAGGAAGCAGGUGCACGUGCGUGUGCAGGGCAGGGAAGCACCACGCAGUGGGGGCUCGAGAGCUGCAGCAAAAGGCUGCAGAGACCCAGGGCUGGAGGAGCUCUGCCAGCGCCAGCGAAGUGCAGCACAGCCCCGUGGAGCACGUGCUGAGCUGGAUGGGGGGGAACAGUGUAAGUAUAUGUGCUGUUCUUAAAGAAAAACAUCCUCUGUGUUCUUGAAAAGUGGAAAUGAAGGAGGAAUAGAUAAAAAACAGAGUGAAUCGUAUUAAAGCGAUGUCCCCCUUUGUAUCUACCCUGCAUCUGACUUCUCCACUGCAGUUUGGGGUCUGAUGUUUUCUCGCUAAACUCCAAAGUCCCUUUUGCUGAGUAUUGUGCCCGUUAACAGGGAUUAACUAGAAGACUUGACACAAAUGUCUGAUCUCCCUGUCCCCAAAUCAUCAAAUACAGAAGUGCCAUGGGCACCGCAGACGCACCCCGCUCACUCCCCACGUGCCGCACAGCGUCCCACACCGGCCCCGCUGGUCGCACGGCUGCCCGCAGAGGACUCGGCUUUGUUGGAGGCAGGGGACAACAAAUUCCUGCGGACUCCUUUUGCCGGUGCCGUCAGCUGUGGGGCAAACACCGUCCAGCAGUGGGGUCCUCGCCUCUGCUCCCAGCAGCCCCCCGCUCGGGGCUGGCCGCCUGCGGGGCUCCGUGGCACGGCAGGGCCGGGGGCUGCUGGUGCGGGGGCUGCUGAGGCUUGUUCUGCACUUAGCGCGAGCAUGGAAUUAUAACACUUAUGGUUAUCCCAGGGUUUUUAACUCCCUUGUUUCUUCCAGACUAUGUAAUUUUGGGGGUAGCCUUUUUGUUGUAGCGUAAUCGUUAUUAUAAUAAUUUUAUUUCCAGUGCUCGUGGCAUGGAAACCAAGAAAUCCGGAGGGAGCAGGGAAACCGUUUUCUGAACUGACAGAACGAAUCAUGUGAAUCGAGCAGGAAUUUAAGUAGAGGUGAGCUGUUGAGAGCAGCCAGCACGGAGAGCUCCCAGUUCCCGUGACUCCUCCAGGCUGAAAAAGCAGCCGCCGCCUGCUCUGCUGUGCCUGGCCACCUCCAGAAACCGCGGAGCGGGCCAGUGGCCAGCGGCGCUUCCCCAGGAAAAAGUCAACGAGGGACUUUUGAGAGUAAGCACACAGGAGCUAAUCUCCCCUGAGCUUUCGGGAGUGCUCGAUGCUGUCACAUCAGAGCACUUGAACACCACCCUCCCAAAGCCUGGGUGUUGUGUGCUAGUAUCAAACCCCAUUUUAGAGCACCUUGCACUUUUUAGUCUUAUUUUUGUCUCUCCACACAAUGCUGGUACUGAAAGUCCCUAAAUACACAGAUGUGCUUCAUCACUGCUUUAAGUGCAGCCUGGAUGAGAUGCUCAAGGCUGGCCCUGGUCGGAGUGAGCCUGGGUGGCUCCCCUUGAAACCAGCUGAACUCCGAAACCAUCUGAGUGUCUGUGCUGGGCGAGGCGCUCACACGGACACCAGCGAAGCUUGCCCUUCCUGCCAGUGGGAACCUGGUUCUCAUUUGUGGAUUCCAGCUUUUUUCAGGCAGAAACUGUAAACCCUGAGCGAGUUUCAGCCAGGAAGCAUGGGCUGAGCAUCCUUCCCUUGGCCUGAAGGAAGCUUUUGCACAUGCUCUGCCGAACCAAAGGGGAUGGUCUCUGCUCAGGGCAGUAAGCAGGUGCCCUGCCGCUGUCCUGCAAGUCCCACCUGCAACCUGGAGGGGAAAUCCUGGCCCUCCCGUGGCAGCAUGGGCAGUGCUGGUGUGUGCAGAGGCGGAAUGCGGCACUUGGCUUCCCAACGCCCCGGCACUGAGAGGUUAAAGUGGCUGGGACUUAAAAAAAAUACGUGCAGGAAAGAAAAUCCUCAUUUGCUGAAGAGAGAAAGGAAGGAGGGGGGGGGGGAAGUUGUUUGUUAAUAAUAAAGAAUGAGCUUCUACAAA